UACGUAGGGGGCAAGCGUUGUCCGGAUUCAUUGGGCGUAAAGAGCGUGUAGGCGGCCAGGUAGGUCGGUUGUGAAAGCUGGAGGCUCAACCUUCAGACGUCGACCGAAACCAUCUGGCUAGAGUCCGGGAGAGGAGAGUGGAAUUCCUGGUGUAGCGGUGAAAUGCGCAGAUAUCAGGAAGAACACCCGUGGCGAAAGCGGCUCUCUGGAACGGUACUGACGCUGAGACGCGAAAGCGUGGGGAGCGAACAGG
rnacentral:rRNA from 1 species